UAGAUUGUAAGCUACUGGAUAUCAAGAGAAGAUUAAAGAAGCCCAGGAACCCUACGUGACUACAGUGAAGAGGGGGACACUACCAACUGGGAUGAUGGAGCCAGAAAGCGAUGCUGAUGCUGCCUAAAGGAGACAUGCCUACUUCACUAAAUGGCCUUGGACAACCCUCCCCACCUCACAAAACAUCAGGCAACUAAAACUGAGAGAUUUCACUGCCGGCAGACUUACAGAAGAGAAAUGCUAAAGGGAUUACUUCAAAGGAAGAGGAAAUGGCACCAGAUGGAAAAUCAAAUCAACAGGAAAGAAUGA